CGUGUAGGCGGUCGGUUAAGUCUGAUGUGAAAGCCCGGGGCUUAACCUCGGAAGGGCGUUGGAAACUGGCCGACUUGAGUUCGGGAGAGGGAAGCGGAAUUCCGGGUGUAGAGGUGAAAUUCGUAGAUAUCCGGAGGAACACCGGUGGCGAAGGCGGCUUCCUGGACCGAAACUGACGCUGAGACGCGAAGGCGUGGGGAGCAAACAGGAUUAGAUACCCUGGUAGUCCACGCUGUAAACGAUGGGCACUAGGUGUGGGGGGUUUUUAAUCCCUCCGUGCCGCAGCUAACGCAUUAAGUGCCCCGCCUGGGGAGUACGGCCGCAAGGUUAAA
rnacentral:rRNA from 1 species